GGUAGGGGUCAUGAGAGUGGGAGCCUCGAGAUGCCUUCUGAGACAUGAAGGCAGGUCCUUCGGGACGCAGCAGGCGCGAAAACUUUCCAAUGGUUUAACGACUGAGAAGGGAAUUCUGAGGGCAUGCAUUUUAUGCAUGCUUUUAUCCAGCCCAAAAAGCUGGGUGAAUAAGUGGUGGGUAAGGCGGGUGGCAGCCGCCGCGGUAAUACCCGCGCCACAAAUGGUAAUCACGCUUAUUGGGUCUAAAGGGUCCGUAGCCGGCCUUUAAAGUUCCUGGUGAAAUCCGCUAGCAAACUAGCGGGCUUGCUGGGAAUACUUUUGGGCUUGGGAUCGGGAUAGGGCAGGGGUAUUCUUUGGGUAGGGGUUAAAUCCUUUAAUCCAUGGAAGACCUCCGGUGGCGAAGGCGUCUGCCUGGAACGAGUCCGACGGUGAGGGACGAAAGCGUGGGGAGCAAACGGGAUUAGAUACAAAAUUUCUAAUCCGAUGAUACCAAAGAUGAUUGGAGUUUUGCUAGAAACCCCGAUAGUCCACGCUGUAAACGAUGCCCGUUUGAUGUUGCAGACUUUACGAGAGUUUGCAGUGUCGUAGCGUAGGUGUUAAACGGUCCACCAGGGGAGCACGGCCGCAAGGU
rnacentral:rRNA from 1 species